AGUGAACGCUGGCGGUAGGCCUAACACAUGCAAGUCGAACGGCAGCACAGGAGAGCUUGCUCUCUGGGUGGCGAGUGGCGGACGGGUGAGGAAUACAUCGGAAUCUACUCUGUCGUGGGGGACAACGUAGGGAAACUUACGCUAAUACCGCAUACGACCUACGGGUGAAAGCAGGGGACCUUCGGGCCUUGCGCGAUUGAAUGAGCCGAUGUCGGAUUAGCUAGUUGGCGGGGUAAAGGCCCACCAAGGCGACGAUCCGUAGCUGGUCUGAGAGGAUGAUCAGCCACACUGGAACUGAGACACGGUCCAGACUCCUACGGGAGGCAGCAGUGGGGAAUAUUAGACAAUGGGCGCAAGCCUGAUCCAGCCAUACCGCGUGGGUGAAGAAGGCCUUCGGGUUGUAAAGCCCUUUUGUUGGGAAAGAAAUCCAGCUGGUUAAUACCCGGUUGGGAUGACGGUACCCAAAGAAUAAGCACCGGCUAACUUCGUGCCAGCAGCCGCCGUAA
rnacentral:rRNA from 1 species